AUAAACAAAAAUUAGAUAAAACGUACAUUUAAGAGAAUCUUGCAAAACCUGCCAUAUUCCCCUCAAAAUCUUACAAUCCCUAUCAUAUUCACAGUCAGCUUACAGAAUCUACCACAUUUAGCUACACGUGGAAAUUCGUGGACGAAAUUACCCUUAAGGUGGGUCAGUGCUCUGACUUAGAUGGCGACAGCUUCGUCCAGCGAAAAGAGGCAGCCCCUGUUCCGUAAUAAAUGUUUCCGUUUCCGAUUGGAUGUUAUGUGGAUUUAUUUUUUAAAAAUGGUAAUAUAGGGGUUAGUCACUUUAAU
rnacentral:sRNA from 1 species